GUAUUAUUACAAAUUCUCUCCUUUUAACAUUAUAUUUUCCUGUAUUUCUCUCAACAGGAAACACACUCAAAGGAAAGACCAGCAUACUCAAGUGAACAAAUGUGAUGUAUUUGUUUCCAUAUGUUCUGCAUUUUGCUGGCAGAGAUUCCAGUGCUGGGUGGAAGGUCCUCUUCCUGGUCUCAUUUGCAUCAUCAGCAAUGGAGGUCAGCAUGACCAGCAGGCUGCUGCCUCCAUGAACAUCUUAGUAGAUUCCUGAUCCCCCUUGUCAUCGGUACCCUAUACCUGAAACACGCUUCCUCCCUCUGCUUCCUCAUUGAGGUCCUCCAUGCCUGUGCCACCAUGGCCC
rnacentral:lncRNA from 1 species